UUGCUCUUCAACGAGGAAUGCCUAGUAAGCGCAAGUCAUCAGCUUGCGUUGAUUGCGUCCCUGCCCUUUGUACACACCGCCCGUCGCUACUACCGAUUGAAUGGCUCAGUGAGGCCUUCGGACUGGCUCAAGGAGGUCGGCAACGACCACCUAGAGCCGGAAAGUUCGUCAAACUUGGUCAUUUAGAGGAAGUAAAAGUCGUAACAAGGUUUCCGUAGGUGAACCUGCGGAAGGAUCAUUACCGAGAGACGGGGGUCUAACCGGCCCCACUCCUCACCCGUGUAUACCUACCAUGUUGCUUUGGCGGGCCCCAGGGCUCACGGCCCUGCGCCGGUCGGAGGCCAUUGUGUCUCCUCCCGGCGAGCGCUCGCCGAAGGCCCUGCAAACUCUUGUUUCAGUGUCGUCCGAGUAAAACCUAAUCGUCAAAAAACUUUCAACAACGGAUCUCUUGGUUCUGGCAUCGAUGAAGAACGCAGCGAAAUGCGAUAAGUAAUGUGAAUUGCAGAAUUCAGUGAAUCAUCGAAUCUUUGAACGCACAUUGCGCCCUCUGGUAUUCCGGGGGGCAUGCCUGUUCGAGCGUCAUUGCAACCCUCAAGCACUGCUUGGCUAUGGGUCUCGCCCCCGCGGCGGGCUCGAAAUACAGUGGCGGUCCGACGAGCCUCCGAGCGUAGUAAGAUUUCAUAUCCCGCUAUGGAAGCCUCUCGCCUGGACCCGCCAGCAACCCAACCAUAUUCAAUCACGAUUGACCUCGGAUCAGGUAGGGAUACCCGCUGAACUUAAGCAUAUCAAUAAGCGGAGGA
rnacentral:rRNA from 1 species